rnacentral:rRNA from 1 species
UGAAGCUGGAAUCGCUAGUAAUCGCGGAUCAGAAUGCCGCGGUGAAUACGUUCCCGGGUCUUGUACACACCGCCCGUCACACCAUGGGAGUCGGAAAUGCCCGAAGUCUGUGACCCAACCGAAAGGAGGGAGCAGCCGAAGGCAGGUCGGAUGACUGGGGUGAAGUCGUAACAAGGUACC